AUCCUGGCUCAGAUUGAACGCUGGCGGCAUGCUUUACACAUGCAAGUCGAACGGCAGCGGGGGCUUCGGCCUGCCGGCGAGUGGCGAACGGGUGAGUAAUGCAUCGGAACGUGCCCAUGUCGUGGGGGAUAACGUAGCGAAAGCUACGCUAAUACCGCAUACGCCCUGAGGGGGAAAGCGGGGGAUUCUUCGGAACCUCGCGCGAUUGGAGCGGCCGAUGUCGGAUUAGCUAGUAGGUGAGGUAAAGGCUCACCUAGGCGACGAUCCGUAGCGGGUCUGAGAGGAUGAUCCGCCACACUGGGACUGAGACACGGCCCAGACUCCUACGGGAGGCAGCAGUGGGGAAUUUUGGACAAUGGGCGCAAGCCUGAUCCAGCCAUGCCGCGUGAGUGAAGAAGGCC
rnacentral:rRNA from 1 species